GUACUCUCACACUCCCAAUUGCUUUGGAUUGGGAGCGGUGGACUUGGGUGUUGCUGCUUGACUGAGGCUCACCUGAAAUAUGUUAGUGCACCUCUUGAUUGGACAUAGUACGGCGUGAUAAGUGUCUUCGCCGGCUCCUCGCAAAGAGGGUGGCCGAUCGGGAGCUCUGUUGCUUCAAACUGUCUUCGGACAAUCUUCUGGCG
rnacentral:misc_RNA from 2 species